CCCCUGGUGGCUCACACAGUAAAGCAUCUGCCUACAAUGCAGGAGACCCAGGUUCAAUCCCUGGGUUGGGAA
rfam:TPA: Bos taurus chromosome 16, whole genome shotgun sequence.